UUCCUGUUUACAGCUCCACACAUCCCACAAACCCCUGCUACUCGAAUAGGAAAUGUUACACAGGCCCGAAGCGUGCAGCCAGCUGGGUAUAAAUCAGUUAUCGAGAGAUUAUUUUCACGGCAUUUCAGCUUAACUGUGACACCUGAUGAGAAACUUGGAUAAACCUCAGGCUCAUCAAAUCCUUCCAAGACACACUGGACAAACCACAACAAGCAUGAGGAAGACCAAGUGUGAAUGCUGAAGUAGUUACAGGGCAUCCAAUUGUCUUCAACCAAAUGCCGCACACGGGGAAUUUGCACGCUUUAUCAACUGUGGGUGUGAGUUCUCCAUAUCCCUCCCUCCCAGCUGACUCAUGACCAGUUCGGCUGCCGUGAGAAUAAACAAAGGAAUCACCAUCAUCACUGCAGAUAUACUCCUUCAGACUCACAGGAAACACAACCACAAACACAUUCAGACUGGAUGAUACUAACACGAAUCACCACUCUUGCCGAAUGCUCUUCUCUGAACACAAUUAUAAGUUACUGUGAUCACUAAUGCAUUGUGAAUGUAUUCCACAGUGGUGUGGUUUGACCACAUCUUGUUUGUUAAAAUUAAACCCAAUGACACAGUUCCUUCAGAGAGUCGUACAGUUACUUUAGGCGGAAAAGGUUUUGUUCUUUUGAGCGAGCGACGUUACAAAAAUGAUUCAUAUGACAGAACGGCUUGGUUAAGGUUAGAGAAACAUCAGUAUCAUGGUUAAAUGAAACCAGCUCGGCUGUUGGUGUGGGAUGGGAUGCAAACCUCUCUGGUGUCAAAGUCAGACCCAAUCAUCCACCCCAACCAGGUUUUGCGGCUCUCUCACAACAUGACGCUACUUUUGUCUUGUUAUUCACAUGACCGCAAGAGGUUGCUGAUCAGGGAAAUGUAAGCAUUUGAACUAACAGUAAAUGCUAUAUGAACAUGCGAAAGUUAAUGGAAAUACAGACACGUUCCACUUUUAGCCUUAUUUCUCUUUUUCUUUUCCUGGUACUUCCCCAGAGGAUCACUAUGUGACUACAUGUGUUUUAACAGCUCUGACUUUUGAUCAUACUAGUGGCUUUCUAUGAUACUGCUGAGCAAUGAAUUGCUGUUCAAACAAUACAAAAUGUAAUAUAGGAGAGAAAAAAUCUUAAUUUACUGACUUUUCCAUAAAACAAAUAAACUAAAUCAUUUUAAAGGGUGGUUGCUGACAAAACUUAUUCUUUCACAUAGUCUUAUACCACUUUCAUACAGCAGGCGCAUGUAUGAUGUGGGUCUAGUGACGCACAUUUAACCUGCGUUGGACCCUUUCAUAUCAGACUGUUGGACACUGGUCAAACCCACAAUGUUGACCUUCACAUUAGCCAUAGAUCCAGCCCGGGUCCGCACCAGCAUCUGGUGUCAAUUUAGGAGGAAUGAACAUGGUGGGGACAGUUGACAAUAUGGAGCAGCUUUGAGGAGUUAGUAGUUGUUUAGCUUUUGGACUCAUGUUAAAACCACAUAUCCAUGAUCAUAAAAUCCUGUGGUUGGUCCAUUUGCUUUCAGACCACAACCAAAGUACACCAGAGUCCGCUUCGAACCAGACAGAGACCCUCCUUUUCCGGUGGUGUUAGAUAGGUUGUUUGGACUGCACCAGGGUUCAGUUAAACUUUAACGCCAGCCCAAACACACCAGACCAGACAGGCACAUACACCAGAGUUUAUCUGAACCAAAUCAAACAGGUGUGAAAGACCCAUGGUGGUAUUUAGCCAUGCGGAUAGUGUUGGUUUUUAUUUUUGCCAGAUUUAGAGAUAUUCAUCUGUGAGAUUCCUGCCCCCACCUGAACACAAUGAAGGAAUUUUGUUUGGGUUACUCAAAACAUUGUAAAAUUACAUUUGAAAAAGUCAACAGUAGUAGUAGUAACAGUAGCAGAAAGUAGUCCCGAUGAGAUUUCUUCAGUGCACCUUCACAGUAUUAGGAUGAAUAAAAACCUGGGAAACCAAAACUAUCAACAUUCCUGGAUACAACUAAGAUGAGUGAGAAAACAUAUUUUUCUAUAAUUCGAUUAUCUGAGAAGAAGGCAGCUCAUACUGCAUUCCUCCUCGUUAGGUGUCAUUGAGGUCAUUGGUUGUUUCAUCAUUUCAUCAGAACAGUGAG